AUUGAACGCUGGCGGCAGGCUUAACACAUGCAAGUCGAGCGGGGUGAUGGUGCUUGCACUAUCACUUAGCGGCGGACGGGUGAGUAAUGCUUAGGAAUCUGCCUAUUAGUGGGGGACAACAUCUCGAAAGGGAUGCUAAUACCGCAUACGUCCUACGGGAGAAAGCAGGGGAUCACUUGUGACCUUGCGCUAAUAGAUGAGCCUGAGUCGGAUUAGCUAGUUGGUGGGGUAUAGGCCUACCAAGGCGACGAUCUGUAGCGGGUCUGAGAGGAUGAUCCGCCACACUGGGACUGAGACACGGCCCAGACUCCUACGGGAGGCAGCAGUGGGGAAUAUUGGACAAUGGGGGGAACCCUGAUCCAGCCAUGCCGCGUGUGUGAAGAAGGCCUUAUGGUUGUAAAGCACUUUAAGUGAGGAGGAGGCUCUUUUGGUUAAUACCCAAGAUGAGUGGACGUUACUCGCAGAAUAAGCACCGGCUAACUCUGUGCCAGCCGCCGCAGUAA
rnacentral:rRNA from 1 species